rnacentral:rRNA from 1 species
UCCUACGGGGAGCAGCAGUGGGGAAUAUUGGACCAUGGGGGAAAACUUGACCCAGCCAUGCCGGGUGUGUGAAGAAGGUCUUCGGAUUGUAAAGCACUUUAAGUUGGGAGGAAGGGCAGUAAGUUAAUACCGUGCAAUUUUCGCGUCCCCAACAGAAUACGCCCCCCAUAUCUUCGCCCCCGCAGGCGCGGUAAUGUGAAGGGUGCAAGUUCUCCUCGGAAUUUGGGGGCGUAGAGCGCGCGUAGGUGGUUCAGCAAGUUGGAUGUGAAAUCCCCGGGCUCAACCUGGGAACGGCAUCCAAAGGCAUUGAGCUAGAUUGCUAUAGGGGGUGGGAGAUUUUCCUGUGUAGCGGGAAAAUGCGUAGAUCUGGGAAGGAACACCAGGGGAGAAGGGGUCUACGGGGCGAUAUAGUCACUGUGGAGUGAGAAAGCGGGGGGAGCACACGGGAUGAGAUCCCGGGGGAGCCCACCCUGUAAACGGGUCGUAUAGCGGGUGGGAUCCCUGAGAUCUUAGUGGCGCAGCUAACGCGAUAACGCGACCGCAUGGGAGACCCAACA